rnacentral:rRNA from 1 species
AUACAGAGGGUGCGAGCGUUAAUCGGAAUUACGGGGCGUAAAGCGCGCGUAGGCGGCUUGGUCAGUCGGAUGUGAAAGCCCCGGGCUCAACCUGGGAAUGGCAUUCGAUACUGCCAGGCUAGAGUAUGGGAGAGGGAAGUGGAAUUUCCGGUGUAGCGGUGAAAUGCGUAGAUAUCGGAAGGAACACCAGUGGCGAAGGCGACUUCCUGGCCCAAUACUGACGCUGAGGUGCGAAAGCGUGGGGAGCGAACAGGAUUAGAUACCCGAGUAGUCC